UAAUAAAGUGUUUUAUGGCACUUUUCAACAAUCCAUAUCCACCUUGUGUGCAAUGUCAGUCGAUCUUCUUCAUGGAGAUCGACCAAACAUCAACCUUUAUCUUUUAACUCUUUGUCUGAAAAAUAUUAUGAAUAAACAAUUCAAAAUA
rnacentral:misc_RNA from 1 species